GGACUGACCGAGCAAGCUUGGAGGUGCACGCAGUGUUCUCUGCGCAUGUACCUCAGGUCCCCAAUGUACCUCUAUGAAAAGCAUUGGAUUGGACGAUCGUGGAGGAGGCCUUUCCCCCUCUGUGUCGUCAUGGGAGGCAGAUAAGUAAGGGAGCCUCUCUAUUGGAAAAAGAUGAGUAAAUCCUUUAUUUAUUUAAUUUUAGCACAAAUGGGGGGACAUAUAAAGCUGGGAACAGGGGUAAUAUAGCCUUAGGAAUACAGAUU